UGCGUAGGCGGAAUGAUAAGUCAGUGGUGAAAUCCUACAGCUUAACUGUAGAACUGCCAUUGAUACUGUUGUUCUUGAGUACAUUUGAAGUGGGCGGAAUGUGUCAUGUAGCGGUGAAAUGCAUAGAGAUGACACAGAACACCGAUCGCGAAGGCAGCUCACUAAACUAUAACUGACGCUCAGGCACGAAAGCGUGGGGAGCAAACAGGAUUAGAUACCCUGGUAGUCC
rnacentral:rRNA from 1 species